rnacentral:rRNA from 1 species
GACGGGGGGGGCAAGGGUUCUUCGGAAUGACUGGGCGUAAAGGGCCCGUAGGCGGUGAAUCGGGUUGAAAGUGAAAGUCGCCAAAAAGUGGCGGAAUGCUCUCGAAACCAAUUCACUUGAGUGAGACAGAGGAGAGUGGAAUUUCGUGUGUAGGGGUGAAAUCCGUAGAUCUACGAAGGAACGCCAAAAGCGAAGGCAGCUCUCUGGGUCCCUACCGACGCUGGGGUGCGAAAGCAUGGGGAGCGAACAGG